rnacentral:rRNA from 1 species
GAUGAACGCUGGCGGCGUGCCUAAUACAUGCAAGUCGAGCGAACAGACGAGGAGCUUGCUCCUCUGACGUUAGCGGCGGACGGGUGAGUAACACGUGGAUAACCUACCUAUAAGACUGGGAUAACUUCGGGAAACCGGAGCUAAUACCGGAUAAUAUAUUGAACCGCAUGGUUCAAUAGUGAGAGACGGUUUUUGUGUCACUUAUAGAUGGAUCCGCGCAGCAUUAGCUAGUUGGUAAGGUAACGGCUUACCAAGGCAACGAUGCGUAGCCGACCUGAGAGGGUGAUCGGCCACACUGGAACUGAGACACGGUCCAGACUCCGACGGGAGGCAGCAGUAGGGAAUCUUCCGCAAUGGGCGAAAGCCUGACGGAGCAACGCCGCGUGAGUGAUGAAGGUCUUCGGAUCGUAAAGCUCUGUUAUUAGUGAAGAACAAAUGUGUAAGUAACUAUGCUCGUCUUGACGGUACCUAAUCAGAAAGCCCCGGCUAACUACGUG